rnacentral:rRNA from 1 species
GGAUAAGGAAAGUAAAAAAGGGCGCAUGGCGGAUGCCUUGGCUCUCGGAGGCGAUGAAGGACGUGAUAAGCUGCGAUAAGCUUUGGGGAGGUGCAAAUGACCUUUGAUCCAGAGAUUUCCGAAUGGGACAACCCAAUAUCUUGAAGAGGUAUUAUCUUACUAUGUAAGAGGCUAACGCAGGGAACUGAAACAUCUUAGUACCUGCAGGAAAAGAAAAUAAACAAUGAUUCCCCCAGUAGUGGCGAGCGAACGGGGAACAGCCCAAACCAUCCAUGUUACGGCAUGGGUGGGGUUGUAGGACUACGCCGUUGCAUGAAGACAUCAGAGAAGAACUUUCUGGAAAGAAAGACCAUAGAGCAUGACAGUUGCGUAUUCGAAUGUUGUCGAAGCAUAGUAGUAUCCUGAGUAGCGCGGAGCACGAGGAAUUCUGCGUGAAUCUGCCGGGACCAUCCGGUAAGGCUAAAUACUCCCGAGAGACCGAUAGCGAACCAGUACCGUGAGGGAAAGGUGAAAAGCACUUCGAACAGAAGAGUGAAAUAGUUCCUGAAACCGUGCGCCUACAAGCGGUCGGAGCUCGUUAAUGAGUGACGGCGUGCCUUUUGCAUAAUGAACCUACGAGUUGCCUUUGCCGGCAAGGUUAAGUGUGACGACACACGUAUCCGAAGCGAAAGCGAGUCUGAACAGGGCGUAUAGUCGGCAGUGGCAGACGCGAAACCAAGUGAUCUACCCUUGGCCAGGUUGAAGGCUGGGUAACACCAGCUGGAGGACCGCACCAAUAAGCGUUGAAAAGCUUCUGGAUGAGCUGAGGGUAGGGGUGAAAGGCUAAUCAAACUUGGAGAUAGCUCGUACUCCCCGAAAUGCAUUUAGGUGCAGCCUUGCGGGUUACUGAUGUGAGGUAGAGCGACUGAUAAGAUGCGAGGGCUUCACCGCCUAUCAAGUCUUGACAAACUCCGAAUGCGCAUCAGUUCUACCGCAGGAGUGAGGGCAUGGGUGCUAAGGUCCGUGCCCGAGAGGAGAAGAAUCCGGACCACCUGCUAAGGUCCCGAAAUGACAGCUAAGUUAAACUAACGAAGUCUGACUGCUAAGACAGCUAGGAUGUUGGCUUGGAAGCAGCCAUUCAUUUAAAGAGUGCGUAACAGCUCACUAGUCGAGGAGUCGGGCGUGGAUAAUAAUCGGGUAUCAAGUUGUCUACCGAAGCAGUGGGAUCAUUUAUAUGAUCGGUAGGGGAGCAUUCCAGUCAGCGUCGAAGGCGUACCGUGAGGUAUUCUGGAGCGUCUGGAAAAGCAAAUGUAGGUAUAAGUAACGAUAAAGGGGGCGGGAAACCCCCUCGCCGAAAGACUAAGGUUUCCUGAUCAACGCUAAUCGGAUCAGGGUCAGUCGGGUCCUAAGGCUCAGCCGAACGGCGAUGCCGAUGGCAGAAACGGUUAAUAUUCCGUUACUACCUUCAGGAGUGACGUGGAGACGCAGUAGUGACAGUGCCGCCAUCUGACGGAAUAGAUGGUUGAAGGGUGUAGGAGUCGAUCAUGGCAGGCAAAUCCACCAUGAGAUCCGAACCUGAUAGUAUGCCGCGUCCUUCGGGACAAGGCAAUAGUGCGCGUAAGCAUGCUGCCGAGAAAAUCCGCUAAACUUAAUCCUGCAGGUACCCGUACCGCAAACGGACACACGUAGUCGGGAUGAAUAUUCUAAGGCGCUUGAGUGAUUCACGGUUAAGGAACUAGGCAAACUGACCCUGUAACUUCGGGAUAAAGGGUCCCUACCCUUUUAUGGGAGGGCGCAGAGAAUCGGUCCAGGCAACUGUUUAACAAAAACACAGGGCUGUGCCAAAUCGAAAGAUCCAGUAUACAGCCUGACACCUGCCCGGUGCUGGAAGGUUAAGAGGAGAUGUCAUCGAUAAGAGAAGCGUUGAAUUGAAGCCCCAGUAAACGGCGGCCGUAACUAUAACGGUCCUAAGGUAGCGAAAUUCCUUGUCGGGUAAGUUCCGACCUGCACGAAUGGUGUAAUGAUCUGGACGCUGUCUCAACCGUGAGCUCAGUGAAAUUGUAGUAUCGGUGAAGAUGCCGAUUACCCGCGAUGGGACGAAAAGACCCCGUGAACCUUUACUAUAGCUUAUCAUUGAAUCUGGGCACGUGAUGUGUAGGAUAGGUCGGAGGCUUUGAAGCAGGUACGCCAGUAUUUGUGGAGCCGCUGUUGAAAUACGACCCUUUAUUUGUUUGGAUUCUAACCCGUGGAACGGGGACAUUGAUUGGUGGGUAGUUUGACUGGGGUGGUCGCCUCCAAAAGCGUAACGGAGGCUUCUAAAGGUGCCCUCCGGCCGAUUGGUAACCGGCCUUAGAGUGUAAUGGCAUAAGGGCGCUUGACUGGGAGACUGACAAGUCGAUCAGGUAGGAAACUAGAGCAUAGUGAUCCGGUGUUUCCGUAUGGAAGGGACAUCGCUCAAAGGAUAAAAGGUACUCCGGGGAUAACAGGCUGAUCCCUCCCAAGAGCUCAUAUCGACGGAGUGGUUUGGCACCUCGAUGUCGGCUCGUCACAUCCUGGGGCUGGAGAAGGUCCCAAGGGUUGGGCUGUUCGCCCAUUAAAGUGGCACGCGAGCUGGGUUCAGAACGUCGUGAGACAGUUCGGUCUCUAUCUAUCGUGGGCGUAUGAAAUUUGCGUGGCUCUGACACUAGUACGAGAGGACCGUGUUGGACAGACCUCUGGUUUGCCGGUUGUGCCGCCAGGUGCAUUGCCGGGUAUCUAAGUCUGGAUCGGAUAAGUGCUGAAAGCAUCUAAGUACGAAGCCGGCCACAAGAUUAGAUUUCUCAGGGUCGUUGUAGACUACGACGUUGAUAGGAUGCAGGUGUAAAGAUGGAGACAUCAAAGCCGAGCAUUACUAAUUGCCCGUUCACUUUCCUUA